rnacentral:lncRNA from 1 species
CUACGUACUUGUCUUGAUGUCACACACACCAAUGACUCGAGACUAAUCACUCUCCCUGAGAGAAGACAUAAUACGUACUGAUCUUAACGGACUGUCAACGCCCAAUUGGCAAUCCUAUGAUCAGGAACGUUUAGGAUGUGUCUACGAAAGAAUGGUCUCAUGAAUCUAACUUCAUUAGAUUACAUUCUCCCAACCACAUAUUCCUUGGACUUUAUCGUUUAAGCAUAUAACAUUUAUAUGAGACGGCUCAAACAAUAAUCUAUGCCCUUGAUAGACGCAUAUUUAUGCGACUUAGUUAACUAGUUUUCUUGCAUUUACGUUAUUAGUUCUUAGUUAUUUU